UGUGCCAGCAGCCGCGGUAAUACAGAGGGUGCAAGCGUUAAUCGGAUUUACUGGGCGUAAAGCGUGCGUAGGCGGCUAUUUAAGUCGGAUGUGAAAGUCCUGGGCUCAACCUGGGAACUGCAUUCGAUACUGGGUAGCUAGAGAUCGGUUAAGGGCGGCGGUAUUCCGGGUGUAGCGGUGAAAUGCGUAGAUAUCCGGAGGAACAC
rnacentral:rRNA from 1 species